GAGCAAAGGAGCUAAUUUUAUGGGUUGUGAGAUGAGGGCUUCAAAGAAGCAUGGUGGUGGGAUGAAGAGGCAGGCGAAGGCUAAGAUGAGUUCGUCCAAGGAUAUACAGAGUGUUGCCGCGAAGAAUCGCAGGGAGAGGAUCAGUGAAAGGCUUAAAAUCCUACAAGCUCUCAUCCCAAACGGCACAAAGGU